rnacentral:rRNA from 1 species
UUUGCCGGCGACCGGCGCACGGGUGAGUAACACGUAUGCAACCUGCCCUCUUCAGGGGGACAACCUUCCGAAAGGGAGGCUAAUCCCGCGUAUAUCGGUUUCGGGCAUCCGAGAUCGAGGAAAGAUUCAUCGGAAGAGGAUGGGCAUGCGGCGCAUUAGCUAGACGGCGGGGUAACGGCCCACCGUGGCGACGAUGCGUAGGGGUUCCGAGAGGAAGGUCCCCCACACUGGUACUGAGACACGGACCAGACUCCUACGGAAGGCAGCAG